AGUGUAGCCGAGGUGGCAGCGCAGGGCAGCAGCAGACUCCGCCCCUACUAAAGAAUUCAAGAAGACGUUCUCUUUCCUCAGCGCUUUGUUAAACAAAUUCUUGGAGAGGGCGAGAGUGGUGACUAAAGAGAGGAGCCUUUCCUCCCCUUUUGCCUGCGCUCCGGCGCGCGGAGAGCCUUUGGAAGGAAUUGGGCCAUGAGAAGAGCCCUCAUGAAUGGGAUUAGUUCCCUUAUAAGAAGAGACACCAAGGAAGUGAUCUUUCUCUGCCCUCUGCUAUGUGAAGACAAGGUAAGAAGACAGCUAUGAACCAAGAAGCAGGCCCUUACCAGACACCAAAUCUGCUGGUGCAUUGAUCUUGGACUUCUCAGCCUCCAGGACUGUGAGAAAUAAAUGUUUAUUGUUGAAGCCACCCAGUCUACAGUAAUUUGUUAUAGCAGCUGAAAUUGACUAAGACAAUUUAAAAAAAUUAAUCUCAUUGACUAUCAAUUUGGAUUCUGGAGCAUACCUGGAUUCAGGUCAUCUGCAGUUUUUUGUUGUUGUUGAUGAUCUUCCUGUCAUAGACAAUGCUGUAACAAACAGACU
rnacentral:lncRNA from 10 species